rnacentral:tRNA from 1 species
GCACCCGUAGCUCAGCUGGCAGAGCAGUGGACUUUUAAUCUGACUUUUAACCCUUGGGUCGCGGGUUCGAAUCCCACCGGGUGCACCA